AGGACAAUUCUGUUUCUGCUUUGUGUAUAUUGAGUCACUAACCUCUGGAAUGAGUGUUUUAUCAUUACAGAUGUGUUAAGUGAAAUUACUUUACAGAAGUCGAUAAUUCUGAGUGGAACUAAUGAAAAGACAAUGCCGAACAUGGGACGAGCUUUAAGUGGAUUGGUUAUCCAGCUCUGUCUGCUACUGGUAAUAAUGACUUGUUUUGUCUUUUAUAAUGCUGAUUUAAAUCACUCUCUGGAUUAAUAUGUUUAAGAGUGUUUAUGUGAUUGGAAAUGUGAAAUUUAAGAUUGCCGUCCAAAAUGGGUUUAAAAUCCAUGCCUAAAUUUAAACGAGGGUCUAAAUUUUAACAAGUUAACACUUGGUUGUUUGAAUGGUAAAGGUAAAUAUUUUAGACUUGACGGCAGAAAAACAGUGACAGAUUGGCUAAGUCACUAACCAAAUUAUCCAGAGAGCACCCUCACAUAAAGAAGCCUGGUGGGAAAACAAAGGAGUGAAUCCUGUUUAUGUAAUAUAGUGCAAAAGCAAAAGCAUUUGGUUCAUGUAGAACAGAGAUAAGUUGAACAAAAAUGUGUGGAUCUCCUGGGAUAGCCCCUUAAUGGAGGAAUACCAUAACAAGAGGUUUGAAUUAAUUGAAAUAGCACAGCAAAAAAAAAUUAUGUUUAAACAACACAAUUGUAAUAGGCUCUAUGGAGCUGCUUAUGAACAUCUGUCAAGGCUUUUUGAUCAUGUAUACUGUUUCAAUACAGAUUUACAGAAACUGAGGAUGUCUCUUUAAUAAAUAUUUGGCCGUUUAGAACUAAGUAAUAGUAUUGUUCAUUUAGUAAUAGUAUUGUGAAAUCUGUCGGCUCUUUUUCAGUUUAUAAUAAUUUUGAGUAAAUAAAUAUCACUGCCAAAUGACAAACAUGAACGAAGGGUUUUUAAGACAUUGAUCAGGUAGCUGACCUGUAAGCAUUUCUAACUGACAAAACAGUGAGAACUAAACUGACUUUAUACGAGGUAUUGAGGAUUUGCUUCUGAAUGUGUCGUUAAUAUAGUCUGAGGACAGUAAUAUGGUAUGAUAAUUGACAAGAUUUGCAUAAAAAAAUAAAUAAAUAAGUAAUAAUAAUAAUAAGGCAAUGAGUAUGAUUAACAGUAAUGUCAUGGUAUAAAAAUACAUGCAUGACAAUAAGUGGACAGGUUAGUUGUAUUUUUGAAGUUAGACACUUCGAUACUUAAAAUGUAAUUUUGACCAAAUGUUGUUAACAAUGACAAGUUUAGGUUUAUGUUUCAUGUAUGUUUAAACAGCAUGUGAACUAUGAUGACUGCAAAUGGAUUCGUGGUGAAAGUAAAACUUAAUAAAAGGGCUAUUAAGUAAUAAACUAGGAACUGCUCUAGGUUUUCGAGGAAAUAAUGAUUAUGAUUAUUUUUUUAUUUUUAAAGAUGGCUCAAUAUUGAUCUUACUUAUUUUUGGUUUGUUUAUUUUUGUGUUUUUAACACCAAGUUUGGAGUGAAAGGGUAUAAUGGAUAUUCAAUCCCUCUAAUUGCACCAUUGAUCGGGAAAAUUAUAGAUUUUCAUAAAAUAAGGGUAUCUUUACUGGGAUUUAGGUUAUAAGCAAUGUCUGUAUUUGG